rnacentral:lncRNA from 1 species
UAUCAUCUCUUUUGCAACACUUUUGUUCAAACUUAGUCCUCACAAGUACACACUUGCACGAAGCUUACAAAAGAAAAUACAAUUAUAAUGGCUCAACCAGAAUAUGAAGUCAUCUUUAGGAAAGGCAGAAAUGAAAAGCAAGCCAGUCUUUACCAAGAAUUAAGCACUAGAGAAAUUGUAUCAACCAGGUAUUGUGAUGAAGCUUGUUUAAGAAUGUUAGGUUUGUAUGAUAGUGUCAAUUUUAUGCUUGAUUCUCUCCAUCUCAAUUAUUUCCUAUCACAAGCUAACCCAGUUUAUGUUCAAUUGACACUUGAAUUCCUAAGUUCACUCAAAAUUUCCACUGUCCCUAAUUCAAACAGUACUAGUGGGACUAUAAAUUUUAGAAUGUUUAAU